GAUAAUCAGCGGCAAUUGGCCGAGACUGAGACAAGCGGUAGCGUCUGCUAUGACAGUCGACUCGGCGGCGUCCGACGCGGUGAUCAGCAGGCUACGUAAUGUCUUCGUUGUCCCAGGCUCAGCUGGACGCAACAGCUGUAGAGAAUUUUCGCGAGUACUUGCGAAUACCAUCGGUUCAACCCAAUAUCAAUUACGAUGAUUGUGUUGCAUUUUUACAAAAACAAGCAGAAUCUCUCGAUUUACCUGUCAAAGUAUAUCAUGUUCAUCCAAAUAAACCAAUUGUGGUUCUCACAUGGAUAGGUUUGCAACCAUCAGAACCAGCUAUUCUUUUAAAUAGCCACAUGGAUGUUGUACCUGUUUUCGAAGACAAAUGGACCUAUCCACCCUUUAGUGCUCAUAUGGAUGAGCAAGGAAACAUAUAUGCUCGUGGCAGUCAAGAUAUGAAAUGUGUUGGAAUACAAUAUUUAGAAGCGAUUCGUCGUAUGAAAUUAGCUGGACAACGUUUUAAAAGAACAAUUCAUAUUUCUUUUGUACCGGAUGAAGAAAUUGGAGGAGUUCUUGGCAUGGAGGAUUUUGUUCAUACCAAAGAUUUUCAAGCUUUAAAUGUUGGUUUUGCAUUAGAUGAGGGUGUAGCUUGCCCUGAAGAACAAUUUUAUUUAUUCUAUGGCGAGAGAUCUAUUUGGCACGUAGUAGUGGAAUGUGCAGGAACUCCUGGCCAUGGCUCACUUUUAUUGGAUAAUACAGCUGGAGAAAAAAUACGAGUUAUAAUCGAUCGUUUUAUGGACUUUAGAGCCAAAGAGAAGGAAAAGUUGAAAAAUCCAAAGCUUCAGCUUGGUGAUGUAACAACUAUCAACCUAACACAAUUACGGGGUGGUGUGCAAACAAAUGUGGUACCCACAUCGUUAACAGCAAUUUUCGAUUGCCGACUUGAUCCUUCGAUAGAUCAUAAUGAAUUCGAAGCUAUGAUUAAGAGUUGGUGCCAGGAAGCUGGUCCUGACGUUACAUAUUCAUUCCAACAAAAGAAUCCUAAGAUAGAGAAUACAAAAUUAGACGAUUCUAAUCCUUAUUGGAUCGCUUUUAAAAAAGUAUGCGAUGAUAUUGGAAUAAAUUUGCAAAUAGGAAUCUUUCCGGGUGGAACAGAUAGCCGAUACGUGCGAUACGUUGGCAUUCCUGCUAUUGGUUUUUCACCAAUGAAUAAAACGAAAAUACUUCUUCAUGAUCAUGAUGAAUAUUUGAACAAAGAUAUAUUUCUAAAGGGUAUUGAAAUAUAUAUGAAACUAAUACCUGCAGUGGCAAAUGUCUAAAUGGAUAAUCAAACAGUUGAACAUAAUUUAAAAAGCUUUUUAAGAAACCAAAGCAUUAAGGGCUGAAUUGACGAAACAAAGUGCAAUAAUAUAUAGAAUUAUAACUGUUCAAGAAAAGUACAAACAUACAGCAUAGAGCAGAAAUAAUUACUUCGAUGAAAAAAUGCUACCAGAAGUACCAAGUUUAUCGCAAGUAAGAUUUGAAUAAGUUAAUUAACAGUGAGAUAUAUUUGCAAAAUAUAUUGCCAGUGUUUUGAGAAAAAUAGAAAAUUUCGUCGAACGGACCAACUGAAAACGCAUUUAAAUAAGGUAUUGAAAAAUGUAUUUAAUAAUACUCAUUACAGAUUUAAAAAACGUGAAGUAUAUAAAAUGCACGAUCAGUAAUCGGAUAAGCAAAGAAAAGAAUACUCCUUUUUCAAGUACAAAUCGAUUUAUCGUAAUUGUAAGAGCUCAAAUCCCGUAUCAAAUCGUAGAU
rnacentral:misc_RNA from 1 species